rnacentral:piRNA from 1 species
UGACCUUGAAGCCGACUGCCUG